UGGGGAAUAUUGCACAAUGGGCGGAGGCCUGAUGCAGCGACGCCGCGUGGGGGAUGAAGGCCUUCGGGUUGUAAACUCCUUUCGACAGGGACGAAGCUUUUGUGACGGUACCUGUAUAAGAAGCACCGGCUAACUACGUGCCAGCAGCCGCGGUAAUACGUAGGGUGCGAGCGUUGUCCGGAAUUACUGGGCGUAAAGAGCUCGUAGGUGGUUUGUCGCGUCGUCUGUGAAAUUCCGGGGCUUAACUCCGGGCGUGCAGGCGAUACGGGCUGACUUGAGUGCUGUAGGGGAGACUGGAAUUCCUGGUGUAGCGGUGAAAUGCGCAGAUAUCAGGAGGAACACCGAUGGCGAAGGCAGGUCUCUGGGCAGUAACUGACGCUGAGGAGCGAAAGCAUGGGUAGCGAACAGGAUUAGAUACCCUGGUAGUCCAUGCCGUAAACGGUGGGCGCUAGGUGUAGGGGGCUUCCACGUCUUCUGUGCCGUAGCUAACGCAUUAAGCGCCCCGCCUGGGGAGUACGGCCGCAAGGCUA
rnacentral:rRNA from 1 species